UAACCUAGUCAAACCACCGAAAGAACGAUUUUCGGAAAUUUUCCACAAAAUAGAACGUAGUACCAGCCUUAAUAACGAAACAGGGGGUUUCAAUGGUGAAGAACGAACAUAGUACCAGCCAUUAACUGAAUUUAUUUCAGCCAACGAGAUAAAGCCAAUAAAAAGAAGUGACAGAUAGCUGUCAUCCCUACUGAUGCUGACAAAACAAUUGGCACUACCAAGCAUAGAGGAACGAGCCCCAUAUCCAAGGAUACGGAACGCAAUGGAAGCAUUCGAUAUUACCAAGAUCGGCAGAAAGAGUUUGCUUCUAGAACGACCAGACUGUCAUGUCGCCUAUGUCGUUCUGAGUACCGCACGGCAAUGGAAAACAAGGGUCUAUUGCCAUUCCUGUGACAAUCCAGUUUGUGCAGAGCAUUCAACACUUAUGCAUCGAUGCUACAAAAUUGCACAGAUAAUCACCCUUAUUCCCGUUGUCGAAGGCGAAAAUCGACAGCAGUCGUAGUCGAAGGCGAAUUUCACAUUUCUUGGUAUUCUCUAACUUAUUCACCUUCGACAGCUUGAUAAUUGAAAAAUAUUGUGUUAAAUAAAAAAAAAAAAAAAAAA
rnacentral:sRNA from 1 species